rnacentral:rRNA from 1 species
GUGGGGAAUAUUGGACAAUGGGGGGAACCCUGAUCCAGCCAUGCCGCGUGUGUGAAGAAGGCCUUUUGGUUGUAAAGCACUUUAAGCGAGGAGGAGGCUACCGAGAUUAAUACUCUUGGAUAGUGGACGUUACUCGCAGAAUAAGCACCGGCUAACUCUGUGCCAGCAGCUGCGGUAAUACAGAGGGUGCAAGCGUUAAUCGGAUUUACUGGGCGUAAAGCGCGCGUAGGUGGCCAAUUAAGUCAAAUGUGAAAUCCCCGAGCUUAACUUAGGAAUUGCAUUCGAUACUGGGAAGCUAGAGUAUGGGAGAGGAUGGUAGAAUUCCAGGUGUAGCGGUGAAAUGCGUAGAGAUCUGGAGGAAUACCGAUGGCGAAGGCAGCCAUCUGGCCUAAUACUGACGCUGAGGUACGAAAGCAUGGGGAGCAAACAGGAUUAGAUACCCGGGUAGUCC